GUCUCCAUCGUCUAGUGGACUAGGACAGCGGAUUUUCAUUCCGUCAACACGGGUUCGAACCCCGUUGGAGGCACCA
rnacentral:tRNA from 1 species